rnacentral:rRNA from 1 species
GAGUAAUGUCUGGGAAACUGCCUGAUGGAGGGGGAUAACUACUGGAAACGGUAGCUAAUACCGCAUAACGUCGCAAGACCAAAGAGGGGGACCUUCGGGCCUCUUGCCAUCGGAUGUGCCCAGAUGGGAUUAGCUAGUAGGUGGGGUAACGGCUCACCUAGGCGACGAUCCCUAGCUGGUCUGAGAGGAUGACCAGCCACACUGGAACUGAGACACGGUCCAGACUCCUACGGGAGGCAGCAGUGGGGAAUAUUGCACAAUGGGCGCAAGCCUGAUGCAGCCAUGCCGCGUGUAUGAAGAAGGCCUUCGGGUUGUAAAGUACUUUCAGC